AAAGUUAGAGGUUCGAAGGCGAUCAGAUACCGCCCUAGUUCUAACCAUAAACGAUGCCAGCCAGCGAUCCGGCUGUGUUCCUCAAAUGACACGCCGGGCAGCUUCCGGGAAACCAAAGCUUUUGGGUUCCGGGGGAAGUAUGGUUGCAAAGCUGAAACUUAAAGGAAUUGACGGAAGGGCACCACCAGGAAUGGAGCCUGCGGCUUAAUUUGACUCAACACGGGACAACUUACCCGGCCCGGACACAGGAAGGAUUGACAGAUUAAGAGCUCUUUCUUGAUUCUGCGGGUGGUGGUGCAUGGCCGUUCUUAGUUCGUGGACCGAUUUGUCUGGUUAAUUCCGAUAACGAACGAGACUCUAGCCUACUAAAUAGACGUUCCGAUCAUCUACGUCGGACGUUCUUCUUAGAGGGACAAGCGGCGUUUAGCCGCACGAAACGGAGCAAUAACAGGUCUGUGAUGCCCUUAGAUGUCCGGGGCCGCACGCGCGCUACAUUGAAGGAAUCAGCGUGUGCUUUCCCUGUCCGACAGGACUGGGUAACCCGUUGAACCUCCUUCGUGCUGGGGAUAGGGAAUUGUAAUUGUUUCCCUUGAACGAGGAAUUCCCAGUAAGCACGAGUCAUAAGCUCGUGUUGAUUACGUCCCUGCCCUUUGUUCACACCGCCCGUCGCUACUACCGAUUGAAUGAUUUAGUGAGGUCUUCAGACUGGCGUUCGGAACGGUUUUAGGAUCGUAACGGUAUGCCGGAAAGAUGACCAAACUUGAUCAUU
rnacentral:rRNA from 1 species